rnacentral:piRNA from 1 species
UGUGACUUCGUUUCUUGUGUUUUGGAUAGC